GUGCCGUGGAAUGUGUGGGCACGGUACAUCAUGCCGCCCCGAACGGUGUCCAGGAAGAUGUUUUAACUGCAGAUGUGACUCGGGCUUUGCUCAACGCACACGUGUCAAUGGAUACAUACCACCCGUGUAUUAUUGCUUUCAAAAAUGUGACGACAAUGGUGCUAAUUGCCCUGAAAAUUCAGAGUGUCAGCUGACGAAUUUAGGAGACUGGUCAGGCAGUAGAAAAUCCUCGAAACUGUGUAUUUGUUCCCGGGAUACCUCUCCUUCACCUACAGGGCAGUGUAUGGCUGCACAAACUCCACCGUCAACAACUGACCCAGCAGUAGCGAUAGGUGUUGCGGUUCUACUGGUUUUGAUCGGAUGUGUCCUGGCACUAGUUACGGUUGUUGUUGUUCUAAG